rnacentral:rRNA from 1 species
AUUGAACGCUGGCGGCAGGCCUAACACAUGCAAGUCGAACGAGUGGCGGACGGGUGAGUAAUGUCUGGGAAACUGCCCGAUGGAUGGGGAUAACUACUGUCAACGGUAGCUAAUACCGCAUACCAUCGGAUGUGCCCAGAUGGGAUUAGCUAGUAGGUGGGGUAACGGCUCACCUAGGCGACGCUCCCUAGCUGGUCUGAGAGGAUGACCAGCCACACUGGAACUGAGACACGGUCCAGACUCCGAAGGUAGGCAGAAGUGGGGAAUAGUGCACAAUGGGAGCAAGCCUGAUGCAGCCAUGCCGCGGGUAGGAAGAAGGCCUUCGGGUUGUAAAGUACUUUCAGCGAGGAGGCGUUACUCGCAGAAGAAGCACCGACUAACUCCGUGCCAGCAGCCGCGGUAAUUC